UGUUCUUCACCCAAACAGCACUUUUUCACAUUAAGAUGGGUUAUAAAUGUGGUGAGUCUGCUUUUCUGCAGGGAAGCAGCUCAGUCGUUGUUAGUCAGAAAAGGAGACUUUGAUAAUAACAUCCAGCACUAAUGAGCCAUCAGUCAGGUCAGAGUCCAGUCUCGAGGAUGACACCGUCACAUCAAUAUGGUACCGGGACAGCGUGUGGCGGUCUGUCAAACUCCACUGCACAGCCCCAGGCAGGCGGCUCGCAGCAUUUUGCUCAGAAAACUGGGACUGUCAUUAUGCGGGGAAGUAAACAACCUUUUUAAACAUUCUAACCUCGGAAAAAAAGACGCAGUACAAAACCAUUUCCUAUAAAUCUGUAUAACUGACUCUCCCUUAAGUUUCACACGAUAGCGAAUACAACACUAACGGAAUACAAACGGCACAGUAUAUUAAUGGGAUUUCAGACACUAAGAUGAUUGAGGGGCGACUGGCAGACAGCAUCAUGAUCAUCACUAACGUGCUCCUCCGGUGUCUCUUCACACAGCCCGUCUGACAGCGUUCAGGCGCUCAGGGGAGUUCUCCUAUAACAGCACAACAUAAAUCUGUUUGGAAACACCGACGACCCCAGGCGGGAUCGGGACGCAAUUUUACGGCGCAAGCAUCUAUAAAUCUGCACCGAUGACGUUGCCGGAGAUCCGUCUGGGCGACCGACAAUCUACCGCGAUCACGGCAGUGAUACCAUAGCCAGAACGUUUGAUCCAAUUAGCGUAGCCUAGCGAUUAACUUAAUUACCAAAGACACUGGAGGACUGCGGAAGCACGAAGACUUUAACGCGAUAAAGAGGAAAGCGCCAGAGCUUAUUAGGGGACUUCCCUGGUGUAAAUAAUGGGAACUGUCAACGCACCUGCGACAAACUCAAUCUUUAAAGAGAACUGCAAAUUAAACUAAAUUUCCUGACACCACUUACGAAAAAAUAAACAAUAUAUUAUAAGGGGUAGACUGACGUUACAAGGGUUGUUACUUUGUUGUCCCAUGCUGAAAAAGGCAGCAUCUAAAUUCAGACUGAGCGCAACUAUAAGUCACGUCGCAGGCAGCCCUGUACGAUCUGUUAAUAUCGGCUAUACAAACUAAAAUAUAUUAUCAAAAAUGGGAUAACGUCUCCUCCGCUCUUCUUAAUCACUCACCCUGAAAGCAGACUCGGUCCCGGAACAAUGCGCUGUUCAGCAGGAAUGGGUGCCGUCAAUUACGCAGCUGUAUUUUCUCGCUCAAGCAAUUCCUCCAGCAUCGCAAUUUUCUCUUUUUCCACAGUAGUUGCACAGUCGCAGCACUCGCAAUUCACGAAACAUGUAACGUCGGUUUUAAAGCAUAUUUCAAAAAAGCAAGAUCGUAGUAAAAGAAGCAGGAAAAGCAGAUUCGUAGUUAGUGUAAACAGCAGGCUUGGGCUGACGAACGCCGUCGUUAAAUCGCCAUCCCCCCCCC